rnacentral:rRNA from 1 species
AACGCGAAGAACCUUACCAGCUUUUGACAUGUCCGGUUUGAUCGACAGAGAUGUCUUUCUUCAGUUCGGCUGGCCGGAACACAGGUGCUGCAUGGCUGUCGUCAGCUCGUGUCGUGAGAUGUUGGGUUAAGUCCCGCAACGAGCGCAACCCUCGCCCCUAGUUGCCAUCAUUCAGUUGGGAACUCUAGGGGGACUGCCGGUGAUAAGCCGCGAGGAAGGUGGGGAUGACGUCAAGUCCUCAUGGCCCUUACAGGCUGGGCUACACACGUGCUACAAUGGCGGUGACAAUGGGCAGCGAAAGAGCGAUCUGGAGCUAAUCCCAAAAAGCCGUCUCAGUUCAGAUUGCACUCUGCAACUCGAGUGCAUGAAGGUGGAAUCGCUAGUAAUCGUGGAUCAGCAUGCCACGGUGAAUACGUUCCCGGGCCUUGUACACACCG